rnacentral:rRNA from 1 species
AGAGUUUGAUCAUGGCUCAGGACGAACGCUGGCGGCACGCUUAACACAUGCAAGUCGAACGAGAGAAGAGGAGCUUGCUUUUCUGAUCUAGUGGCGGACGGGUGAGUAACACGUGAGCAAUCUGCCUUUCAGAGGGGGAUACCGAUUGGAAACGAUCGUUAAUACCGCAUAACAUAAUUGAACCGCAUGAUUUGAUUAUCAAAGAUUUAUCGCUGAAAGAUGAGCUCGCGUCUGAUUAGCUAGUUGGUAAGGUAACGGCUUACCAAGGCGACGAUCAGUAGCCGGACUGAGAGGUUGAUCGGCCACAUUGGGACUGAGACACGGCCCAGACUCCUACGGGAGGCAGCAGUGGGGAAUAUUGCACAAUGGAGGAAACUCUGAUGCAGCGAUGCCGCGUGAGGGAAUAAGGUUUUAGGAUUGUAAACCUCUGUCUUCAGGGACGAAAAAAGACGGUACCUGAGGAGGAAGCUCCGGCUAACUACGUGCCAGCAGCCGCGGUAAUACGUAGGGAGCGAGCGUUGUCCGGAAUUACUGGGUGUAAAGGGAGCGUAGGCGGGAUCGCAAGUCAGAUGUGAAAACUAUGGGCUUAACCCAUAAACUGCAUUUGAAACUGUGGUUCUUGAGUGAAGUAGAGGUAAGCGGAAUUCCUAGUGUAGCGGUGAAAUGCGUAGAUAUUAGGAGGAACAUCAGUGGCGAAGGCGGCUUACUGGGCUUUAACUGACGCUGAGGCUCGAAAGCGUGGGGAGCAAACAGGAUUAGAUACCCUGGUAGUCCACGCCGUAAACGAUGAUUACUAGGUGUGGGGGGACUGACCCCUUCCGUGCCGCAGCAAACGCAAUAAGUAAUCCACCUGGGGAGUACGACCGCAAGGUUGAAACUCAAAGGAAUUGACGGGGGCCCGCACAAGCAGUGGAGUAUGUGGAUUAAUUCGAAGCAACGCGAAGAACCUUACCAGGUCUUGACAUCGUAUGCAUAGCUCAGAGAUGAGUGAAAUCUCUUCGGAGACGUAUAGACAGGUGGUGCAUGGUUGUCGUCGGCUCGUGUCGUGAGAUGUUGGGUUAAGUCCCGCAACGAGCGCAACCCUUACUGUUAGUUGCUACGCAAGAGCACUCUAGCAGGACUGCCGUUGACAAAACGGAGGAAGGUGGGGAUGACGUCAAAUCAUCAUGCCCCUUAUGACCUGGGCCUCACACGUACUACAAUGGCUGUCAACAGAGGGAAGCAAAGCCGCGAGGUGGAGCGAACCCCUAAAAGCAGUCUUAGUUCGGAUUGUAGGCUGCAACCCGCCUACAUGAAGUCGGAAUUGCUAGUAAUCGCAGAUCAGCAUGCUGCGGUGAAUACGUUCCCGGGCCUUGUACACACCGCCCGUCACGCCAUGGGAGUCGGUAACACCCGAAGCCUGUAGUCUAACCGCAAGGAGGACGCAGUCGAAGGUGGGAUUGAUGACUGGGGUGAAGUCGUAACAAGGUA